GGCGGUGUAGUGCAGAGGUUAGCAUCUCCUUUUCCCAACCAUGGGGGCCGGCACCUCCAGCCCUGUUGGAUGGUUGUCGGUCCUUAGGGUCUAUCGAGAGGAAGACAUUGGUUCGAAUCCGAUCAUCGCCA